rnacentral:rRNA from 1 species
GACGAACGCUGGCGGCGUGCUUAACACAUGCAAGUCGAGCGGAGCGGCGAACGGGUGAGGAACGCGUGAGUAACUGCCCCCCCCUCUGGGAUAAAAGUUGGAAACGGCUGCUAAUACCGGAUAGUGGGGGAUGACUCGCGUCCUAUCAGCUUGGUGGUGGGGUGGUGGCCUACCAAGGCGACGACGGGUAGCCGGCCUGAGAGUGCGACCGGCCACAUUGGGCUGAGAUACGGCCCGAACUCCUACGUGGGGCAGCGGUGGGGAAUAUUGCUCAAUAGGGGGAACGCGGAUGCAGCAUCGCCGCGUGCGGGAUGACGGCCUUCGGGUUAUAACCCGCUUUCAGCCAUGACGCGGUAGUGGCAGAAGAAGCACCGGCUAACUACGUGCCAGCAGCCGCGGUAAUAC